rnacentral:rRNA from 1 species
UACGUAGGGACCAAGCGUUGUCCGGAAUCAUUGGGCGUAAAGAGCGUGUAGGCGGCCAUGUAGGUCCGUUGUGAAAACUCGAGGCUCAACCUCGAGACGCCGAUGGAAACCAUGUGGCUAGAGUCCGGAAGAGGAGAGUGGAAUUCCUGGUGUAGCGGUGAAAUGCGCAGAUAUCAGGAAGAACACCCGUGGCUAAGGCGGCUCUCUAGUACGGUACUGACGCUGAGACGCGAAAGCGUGGGGAGCGAACAGG